AUGGACAGUCCCUCUUCUUUGGCGGCUUGCUCAAUCACCAAAAUGGAAUGCAUUUCUCAUUGUCUUUCUUUUGUGAUCUGUAGGGGAAUUCAAAGAUGGGACAGAUUAAAGAGACCAAGCUUCACUUACACAUUUCUAAGUAGUUUCACUAGGGCAGGACUCAGACAAGAAGUGGCGUCCCAGAAUGUUUAGUGAUGGAAAGAUGCCAAUUACUCCUGCUUGGGUUUCCUCUGCACUCUCUGAAUAGAAAGAGCAAUGAAGACAGAAGGUGAGAUGCUGAGGCUAGAAUUGGAGGCUUGAUUUGGGAUGGGAUAAAAUGAAGAACAGGAGCAGCUUGGGCAAGCUGCUGCUGUUGGUGUCAUUGGGGAUGCUAUUAAAGACUCUCAUAUAGCAACAUCCACGUCUGGAUUCCCAUCUGAUCGACAUCAAUAUACUUUUCAGCAUCAUUCAUUUUGGAAGAAGAGCCUUAAUUAGGCAUGAAGAGAUUUAUCAAACAGCAGCCUCCUGGAGCAGAUGAUUCCCCUGUCACCAACAUGCCUGAAAUAUAGUUGACCAAGCAACUUUAAGAAGGAAAGAAGUAGGAGAAGAAUGGAAGAAAAGGAGAAAAAAAAGAAAAAUCAUACCAUCAAUGAUUUUAAAGUAGACCAAGAUGAUAUCAUCAAGUUGGACCUCAGCUCAAUCAAGAAUAUAGUUAAAUAAAUAUAUAAAUCAGCAGUUUCCAGAAGAGCAAGCCAGAAGGUAGCAGGAGAUGUGGGUUCUAGUCCUGGCUUUGCUACUGACUACUCUAUAUGAGUACAUAUGAGGGUAUACAUCAACUCCUCCCUCUAGAUCUAUUUCCUCAUCCAUAAUAAAAAUGGCUAUAGUAAAAAGGACUCAACUAGACUUUUAAGAUUUCUUCCAGUUCUAAAGCUACUAUCUGAUGAACUCUAAAAUCCUUUCUGGCUUCUAAAUGGUGUGAUUCUAGGUAUUUAUUGAUCACAUGCUAUGUGACCAGUAUUAUAGAGAAUAUUGGAUAACUAUAUUAAGGAUCUGUAAUUGCAUUGACACGGAACUGAUUGGUUGAAUCAGUCAAUCACCAACUAUUUAUUAAUUGCUUUUUAUAUGCCAGGAAGGCAUUGUCCUCAAGAAAAAAAAGGUUCUUGCUCUCAAAGAGCUUUAAUGUGGUGGACAACAUUCAAAUACAAAACCCAAGAUAAAUAUAGUCUAAUUGCAUAAUAACUAGAUGGGAAAGACACUUGAAGGGAGAAGAAAGAGGAGCAAAGACUUUGUGAAGAAGAUAAAUAUGAGAUGAAUCUAAAAGAAGCCAAAGAAGUUGAAGAUAGAAGUGAGGAAGGAAUGAAUUCCAGUCCUGGAAGAAAACCAGUGCAAAAGGCAUAGAGUCAGAAAGUGGAUAGUACUUUGUAUAAAAUAGUGAAUAGACCACUAUAGCUGGAUGGUAGAGUAUAUGGUGGGAAAGUAAACAGAGACCAGGUUGUGAAGGGCUUUAAAUAUACAAAAGGAUUUUCUAUUUGAUCAUGGAGAUAAUUAAGAGCCACUAUUAAGCAAAGGGAUGAUAUAGUAACAUCUUCACCCUAGAAAAUUGCUUUGGCAGUUCAGACAAGUCGUAGUGGGCAGAGGACUUGAGAUAUAAAGAUCAAUUAGAAGAUUAUUGCAGUGUUCCAGGAAGAGGUGAUGAAGGCCUGUACUAGGGUCAUGGGUUGAGAGGAAAUGGGAUGCUUAGCCUGAAAUAGAUCAAAUGUCCUCAAAUAUUUGAAGAGCUACUGUUGGAGGAUAAACUAGUAUCUUUCUAAUAGCCACAGAGGGCAGUCAGGAAUAAUGGGUAGAAGUCAUGAAAACAACAAAUUUAGAUUGGCUAUUGGGGAAAAUUUUCUAAAACCAAGAGGCAUCCGAAAGUGGAAUGGGCUGUCUCAGGAGAUACUGGGUUUACCUUUAGUAGAGGCUGUCAGACAAAGAUUUGAUGACCACUUAUUAGUUAUGUUGUGGAUUUAGGUUUAGG